rnacentral:rRNA from 1 species
UACAUGCAAGUCGAACGAACGGAGGAAGAGCUUGCUCUUCCAAWGUUAGUGGCGGACGGGUGAGUAACACGUGGGCAACCUGCCUGUAAGUUGGGGAUAACUCCGGGAAACCGGGGCUAAUACCGAAUGAUARARUGUGGCGCAUGCCACGCUUUUGAAAGAUGGUUUCGGCUAUCGCUUACAGAUGGGCCCGCGGUGCAUUAGCUAGUUGGUAGGGUAAUGGCCUACCAAGGCAACGAUGCAUAGCCGACCUGAGAGGGUGAUCGGCCACACUGGGACUGAGACACGGCCCAGACUCCUACGGGAGGCAGCAGUAGGGAAUCUUCCGCAAUGGACGAAAGUCUGACGGAGCAACGCCGCGUGUAUGAAGAAGGUUUUCGGAUCGUAAAGUACUGUUGUUAGAGAAGAACAAGGAUAAGAGUAACUGCUUGUCCCUUGACGGUAUCUAACCAGAAAGCCACGGCUAACUACGUGCCAGCAGCCGCGGUAAUACGUAGGUGGCAAGCGUUGUCCGGAUUUAUUGGGCGUAAAGCGCGCGCAGGCGGUCUUUUAAGUCUGAUGUGAAAGCCCCCGGCUUAACCGGGGAGGGUCAUUGGAAACUGGAAGACUGGAGUGCAGAGAGGAGAGUGGAUU